GAGGGGGAUCUGAUUGAAACUGCAGCCCUUGAAAUCACUUGGUUUACCAAUUCGUCUCCUGUAAAAUCAAAGGAUCAAAAACUCCUUCAAACCAGAGCGCAGAAGCCUUUGGCCAGUAAUGAAUAAUAGCAAACCAAUCCCUUUUAGGUCUCCCUGUGCAUGAGGGUGUUUUAGCAGAGAAUCUGUGCCAUGGCUAGGCGUCCCUGAGCUGGGAGCUGUGACUGUGUUUCUGUGGAUCUGGGCUCUGAUCACAGAAGCCACUUUUUAAGGUCCCAACAUGAGCUCGGACCACUCAGUUCAUCCUUGCUGUGGCAUCAAGGGGUGAAAAAACAGGAUUUCUAAAGCAUCUUGACAGCCCUUGAGAUCCUUGGGAUUUUUCUCUUGCUCUCUUCCACAAGAAAUAUAUUGUAUAGUGUAGUAGUUGUUCCAUAAAACUUUUGUCCCUUGGGUGUCCCUUAGGCAAUGACAGUUUUGUGAGCCAGCCCCUGCUGGACUUUGCAGAAUGCAGCCCGGUCCUGUGAAAAUCAACCACAACAUUAGUUGAUUAUUAGAGGACUCUGCAGUUCUCCAGAAUGAAUUGGUGGCUUCCGUGUAAGCUCAACUGGGGAAGUCUUUGUAGGAGGAAAGACCAACCUCAUCACUUAUCUGUGGAAAACUGUAGGACUGCAAGGAGUUAAUGCAGUCUUGUUCUUUCUGAGAAGUGGUCACGACUGACAUAAGGAGUCUGCCAAGGUCAGGACCUUAGAAAAUAAAAUAUCUACCAUUUAAACUCAGGCAAACAGCAGACUCUUCCCUAUACCAACAAACGCAACCUUGACAGCCACUCCUUGAAUGUUUAUAAUGUCUAUAUUAGGAGCCAGAUAUAACGUGGCAAUGGAUGGCCUUAUACUUAGGACUUGGGAGACACUGGGGGGUCUGUGUGGGGCACUAUGAACCAAAAUCCAGUGUUUGCACCAAACUCAUUUCCUUGGCUUCCCAGAAGCACUGUGAUUCCAGUUCCAGUGGCUUUGGGGUAAUCUGAGCCCUUCUGGAAACCCAGCACAGCCCUCCUGCACAACAGCGAAGGAUUCUUCACAACAGGAGCCCUACGGGACUUGCUCAACAAGAGAGGUGUUCUGCACUGGUUUGGGUUUUUAUCCGAGUGUAUGUGAGCAGUGUUAUGCCUUGUGAUGCUGUUACAACAACACCAUCCAGGGAAAGCUCUUAGAGAAGUAGACUUUUCCUUCAGUCAUCAGUGGAUGUUUGCUACCGCUGUAAGUUGACAGUGCUGAAGCACUACUUCGUCUGCAAAGCAAGAGUGAUCAGUAGUAAACUUCUCUGAGAGUGCCUCCAGGUACUCUCCACACAGUAUUUCUUAUUUUUUAUGGUGUCAUUUAUGAUUAAAAAUACCCAGGCAAUCAUCUCAAACAAGCCAGCCAGGUUCAGUUUUACCUGAGAGCUGUCAGAGGUUGAUCUAUAAGAUCCCACUGCAGGAACAAUACUACUGAAAUGUAAUACAAAGCUAACACAAAUUAAACAUCUUAGACACAGAUGGAAACUGUGAAACCUUUAAAUCUCAAAGAAGUCCUUCAACUUGAAUUUUUUUCCAAAUCGAUUAUGUGAUUAUUGGAUAAAUAAACUAUGUGAUUGUUCAGCACAUAAACACCCUUUGUUAAAUGUGUCCGUCAAUAGACAAUUCAUAUAAAUGAUACUAACUAUCAUCAAAGGAGUAAUAACGCCUUUAUUGAUGAAUAAAUCUCUAAAAGACAGAUCAAAUGGAGGUUAACUAGCCAUGCAUGACAUUAGCAGGAAUUAGUCUGAGAAGAGCCUUGCGGGCAUGUUAGCUACUGCUGUACGUGGGGUGGGAAGCAGUGUGGGCCACACUUCAUGGCAGUACCUGCAAGGUCAAAAGCCUGACCCUUGCCAAAACCAUGCUGGUUUCCUUACCUUAUAUAGCCUGGCACCAUUAUUUCUGUUUCGUAUUUCUCCAUCGCUUUGUGUGAAGGCUUUUUUUCAAGGAGCCUCUUUUAGCAUUUCUAAAGUAACAUGGAGGCUGAAGCCCCAAGGCUGUACCCAAAGUUCAUAUAAGGUGUCAGAUAUGGAUAUAAAUUACUGCUCUACUGCUUUAAAAACCUGGGGCUAUGACAGGACUGAGCUCCACAGACAAGAGCUCAGAAAAAAAUCUCAAGAGCAGCAACUAAUAUGAAGUAAAAAUUGACAAAAGUGGGGGGAAAAAGCAAAAAAAGAGUCUUGAAUUGAGUGAUAGAACAGUAAGUGGGUGGGAAGGACAAUAUUCAAGUGCCAGAAAAUGAUACUCUAUUGUUAUCUUAGCAUAUAUGACUCUUUCGGACAGUACUCCAGAGGUGCUUUCCGGCUGCAGUUCUGUUUGGAGCAUCUAAUAGCGUGAUAGUGGGAAGCUUUUUGCCUUGCAGAAAUUGCAGCAAAGCCUUCCUGGUGCCUGAACCCAGGAACACAUAAAUGGUUGGUGGUGGUCCAGCAGAGAGACACCACCACCCAACUGCUGCCACCCACCCACGCACAGCAGUAUUGGACCUGCAGACAAACACCACGACCCAACUGCUUCCACCUACCAUGCACUUACCCAUGUUCCUGCUGCUUUUUUUCCAUUUUUCCCCUAAUUCAGCUUACUUCUGCCUUGCUCCUUCCCACUGCAGGGCAGCCUGGCAUCCCAGUGCUCUGUUGGAAGGCAUUCGGCUGUGAUGCACCAUCUUAAGCAAACACUGCUAACUCCUCUAAUAGUCAUUUGUGUGACGCUAGCGGCUAGCUUUUACCUUUUCUGUGGAGAUAUAUUACAACCUAUAAUAAGCAAUGAGCUCUUUUUCCCACAUAAGAUGAAAUCAAUGCACAUUAGAAUAGUUAGGUUUGGAAUUACAUAGCAUAUUAAUGACCCCCUUGGAAACUGCUUGUGAUGAAAGCUGGCUGGAUAAACCGUUUUUCUAUUAACAGAGUUCCCAAAUAGGACAUCAGGGUGGCUUUUGGGUGGAAUUCAACCAUAGCAUCUGGAAUGUCUGUAGGUAGGAUUCUGUUGCUUAGCCAGUGCUCCAGGGUCAUGUAGAGUCCCAGGUUUCUAGUCAAUGGAAAGGAAGGUCCAUUUUAUGCUGUGUAUGUGUCAUUGUAUCCCUCUGUUGAUUGUGGAGGCAUUCCAGCACCAUCAGUUCAGAUCUUGCUGUUCACACUGUUGUUGUGGUUAGCUCAGCUGAGUCUCACCCUUGAUGCCAGAGGAAUUUUGUUACAGCUUUCCCUGGUGCUUAAGUGCUCUCCCACAUCUUACAUGGACUUUUUUUGCUUAGACUUUUGCCCUCUGGAGCUUACAUUCAUUGCUCUUUGCAUACCCAAGGCACCAGACACUUGUUAACUGAAGCCACCAGCUUGGCAGCGAAGUAUGAGAACGAUGGGGGUGCAGCAGCCUCUCUUUCAGUAGAUAAUACAGAGCAAGAGACAAUCAUGGAAAUGACAGCACAGGAACAUAGCACUGAAGUUAGGCAAGUGAAGGUGGAACGAGCUGUAUUGGAAAGAAACGUAAGCUGUGAAAUUCAAAUAUUUAGGUACUUUAGAAAAACUCCCUUGAAGACCUAAGCAAUCAUGAAAGAUAACAAUUUAAUGGCCCUGAAGACUCAUAAUCUGAAACUAUGCACAGCAGGCAAAAUUAUCCCUACCUUUCUUCAGCCCUGCAAACCUGGGAGCAGGAUUAUGCAGUAUAGGACCACAUAUUAUAUCCUAUAUUAUAGGACCACAGAAUCAUUAAGGUUGGAAAAGACCUGUAAGACCACCGAACACAACCUGUUCAUUGGAACAGGUUGCCCAAGGAGGUUGUGGAUGCCCCAUCCCUGGAGGCAUUCAAGGCCAGACUGGAUGUGGCUCUGGGCAGCCUGGUCUGGUGGUUGGUGACCCUGCACACAGCAGGGGGGUUGAAACAUGAUGAUCAUUGUGGUCCUUUUCAACCCAGGCCAUUCUAUGAUUCUGUGACUCAAUGAUCGAGUCCAACUGCCAACCCACCUCCACCAUGUCUACUAACCAUGGCCCUCAUUGCCACAUCUCCAUGUUUUUUUAGUACCUCCAGGGAGGACACCUCCCUGGGCAGCCUGUUCCAUGCAUUACCUCUCUUUCUGAGAAGAAAUUUUUCCUAAUGCCCAACACAGACAUUUGUACCUGAGCUAGGGACACGGGGCUCUCCUUGCUGUCUGUGAAGCAUUUCUGAAGCACAGCUCAUCUGAGCGGUUUGGGAUAUUUGUUCUCACAUGUUUUAACAACACAAAGCUGGCAAUGUUAUUGUUAGGAAUAUUUUAAUUAAUAUUGCUUAUUAAUCAGAUAGAUAUUAGAUAUAAUAGCAUACAGAUCCCUCACACUUCAGGAUAUCACUCAGAACCAAACCCAAAGCUCGAUUUCUGGGAUCUAAACACCAAAUUGCAUUUCUCUAGAAAUUCAACAGUAGUUACAUAUUGGAAUUUUGGACUCUGUUCAGAUACCAGCUUUUAUGAUGCUACUUACCCUAAAGCAAGCGAUAAUGAUUUUAUGUAAAUUAUCCUCCUACCAGCUGGUAAACAAUGCAAUAUGAAGGCUCACCAUACCAUGCUUUUCCUGAUCCUGACUGAUCCCUGUUUGAGGCCCUAUUAACACAGACAACAUUUUGUUUUCCCACAGGAGCUGCUUGGCGGACAAUUAGUUAAAUCCACUGCUCUAAUCGUGUGGAUUUGUUUUGGAGCAAGGCAGUCUCAUAAUACAAAAUGCCUAUUUCAGUUUGAACAAGCAGAUUUAUUAAACCUUUUACGUGCACACUGUGUAGCUUCCAUACACAAAAUUAAAAUCCAUCUGGAGUCAGGAGAAAAUACAUGCAAACUAAAUACUACAAGAGCAAUAAUAUUACUAGCUCUCAAGUCGAGCUUGCAGUCAGUGCAGUAUUUUAUUGUUAUUCAUAAGAAAACAAAAUAAUAAUAAUACUUUCUGCUCAUGGCUGGGUCCUGAUAUACUUCCAUAGCAAAGGCCAUCCUUUUCUAACAACUCUUGUGCCUGCUUUGCUUUCCAUGAUGGGCAAUGUUAACACUGUGUAAGGUUAUGCAAAACUGGGGCUGAGGAUUUCAUGGAGUCUAAGGAGUCAGGGCUGAUUUUGCAGCCAAGUCAACACUGGGCUGAGGCCUCCUGGUAUCUCCAGCAGUGCUGGUGGCCAUUACUCAGCUCACUUCCACCACUUCACCAUUUUGCCCUUCAAAAGUACUUACAAAAUCUGUUGCCCUGAGACAGAAGAAUAAUAAAAUUGUCCAUGUAAUUAUACUCCAGGACGACUUCAUUUAGCCUGAUUAAUUACACAGGUGUAGUAUCUAAUCCCCAAAUUUAGAACAGUGGCUGUGUUCUAAUUAUAUCCUCUGAUAGCUUAAUUCUCUCUUUAUAGCCCAGCUAAAAAUAGUUUGUCACAUUCUCCGUCCAAAGGGAAAUUUGGCACUUACUGUUAGAUUCCAUAGACAAUCCUAAUUGCUCCAGCAAGACUCCUGAGCCCUGCUCAGGGAAUCCAUUCCACCAGGCAAGGUACCACUCAGCAAUUCAGGGACAGAUUUGUCCAAUCCUUCCACUGCACACAGGAAAGAUGCUUCUGGGAAAAAGAGAUCUGAACAUCAGUGAACACUUGGUGUGCUGGUUGUUUCUAUUUCCCUCUUGGUGAUGGUGAAAUGAUGUUGUCAGCCUGAGUGGCUUGACCUGGAUCGCAGAAAGAAUCAGUGUUGGGAAUAGAAGAGAAAACUAUCUGGUGUCUGUUUAUAAACUUCACCUCCUAAAUGAGAAAACUGAGGCAAAGCUGGAUGAAGGCACCAGUAGCCAUAUUUUUUCAUGUAUUUUCUGACCUAUUCUUCAUUCACAGUCUUCAGCACGUUUCAUCCUCAUAAACACACUUCUCUUUCAUAAACAGACUUCUCCAGUAACGACACCACUAUAACAGAAUAGUAUAUACAGGGAAAGACUUUUAGUAACAUCUGUAUAAAGACUUCUGAUAUACUCCAGAUAAAGAAGACAGCCUAAGGAUGCUACAUAACACCACAACUGUACUGAAUGUUGGCAAAGAAGAAUCAUACCCAGGGGGGUUAAACUGCUGUCAGGGGUUCAGCAGUCAAAGCCACAUUGAAUGUCUUUGGUGGGCGAUCAGACUCAAAAGCAAAGCUAGGGCAUUUGCAAACAGCAAACACCAUUUAUAGAGAUUACAUUUUAGCUGUAUGGCCAUUACCUUAACACAGUCCAGCAAGAAAGACGGCGAUUCAACCAGGCACAACUGAAAACUGCCGAAUCAUCAGGUCUGGGCUGUGCCGAGUUGCUCAGCUGAAAAAGCUGUGCCUCGAUGGGCUCUGCUUACCACACUGCUUGCCCUUCCAGUGUCAGAGACGAUUCCACCUACCGUCUUCUCUUGGGAUCUGACUGAAAAAAAUCUUCAAGAUUGCUUUGAGAAAUUGAAUGCUACCUGCAAGAUAGAGCUAAAAAAGGGCCUCGGUGCUUCUGAAAAAAUUUAAAAAAAAACAACAUGUGUUUCCAGUGUGGCUCUGGGGAGAUUCCUGGAGACUAUGACUGCAUUAACAUAACCAUGGGUUCCAUGGGGCUUUUUGAACCUGGGUAUACCUUCUAUGCAGCACAUUUGGUAGCGCUGCAGACCUGACUCACUGUACGUCCAUUGUGCUAUCCAUUUUCUAGAAGUCAGGCAUGAAAUGCAGGUGGAGACUUGCCCCCAAAGUCUGAUGAGGACCAAGUUACAUUUAGUUGCAAAAACAUUUAGUUGAGUCCAUUAUUACCAUUGUAAUACUGCUCUGGGGAAAGGACAGGUAAAGAAGAUGAGACAAGAAGGAAUAGAAAUUCAGUUCAGUGUCUUUAUUUCCCCUAUAAUGUGUCAUGUACCAUUCCGCUUGUUAUUUACUUGAAUAUAUAAUCAACUUACUGUGUAAGUGGCUAAUUGCUUUAUUUCAGUUCUGCUUCAUUCUGUCUCAUUAGGCCAAUUUACGGUUCUCAUCUUUUUUUGUAAUAAAUAAAAAGAACGAUGAUAAUAACAUCAGAAACAUGUUCAGUGCUUUCUAUCAUACUCUUUCUGCAUUAGAACUGCUGCAUCCACGUUUCAUUUCACAUCUCACAUUUGUUUACUGCACCACUGUACUUAACAGCUGAUGUCUGUAUUCUGUUCUGAUGCAAAUGACGAUGAGUGAUUUAGAAACAGCAGAACUGGGAAAGAAGAAAAAAAAAUACCUGGCUGAGGGUGGAUAUGGACUUACUUAAGACCCAUUGAAGAUACAGCCUGAAAUUCUCAUUCCCCUUAAUCAAUAGGAGUCCUCCAGUGACCUCCAGAGAGUCGGCCUCUAAGGGACAUGGCUACUGACUGAGCCCAACUGACUGAUCUACUCAGUGCUCAUCUGUGGGCUGAGGAGAUGAAGACAAGUACUAGAGAAGUGGAAGAUUGGAGGUCUCAUCUCUGUCCACGUGCCAGAGCCCAGACCUGCCUUGUAUGGUAUGUUAGAGGCCUCAUUGAAGAAGAAAUACACUACUGUGAAGUAAUGUGUGGGCAAAACAUUCAUUUCUCCUUUGGCUUCCAGUCUUUAUCAAAAUUCCUAUACUCACUACUGUCUCUCAUCUAGGUCUGGCAUUCCCCUAUUUAUACUGUGUGCACUUCUAAACACCACAUUAUCUAGAUAGAAAAAGAGCAAUGUCAAAUUAACCUCCAGACCUGCCUGUUCACUAAUCCACAGAGCAGCUGUUACUCCUCACUUGCAGCUCAUUGAAGCUCCCUGUGUUAUUUCUUGGCAGUUUUCAUCUCCUGAAAAGUUCCUGAGUACACAAAGCCCACACUGGCACCAUCCCUAGAUAUCAUAUAAAAUGCGCUCAUUUACUCCAGCUGCUGAUUUGGCCCUCAUAUUCUUGGUUUAGAUCCCACUCCAUAUGUUCCCUGUAGAAGAAUGUUUUGGAGCUUUUUUUGCUUCUUAGAAACCCACUUGUUUCAGACUCUGAAACACGAGGAACAACAUAUAAGAUCAGAAGAUCCUUGACUCCAGCAGUGACCUCCUCAUUGACUUUGAGAGGGAAACAACCAGCUUUCACAUUGAACAUGAUCUGUGUAAGAAGCAGUUAUUUGUGGAGAAAAUGAAGAAUCACGUCCUUGACACCAAUUACUCCAGCAAACUAACAGCAUAUCUGGGAUAAUUUGAAGGCUUACCAUGUAUGUGGACAAGUGCAUGAACAAAUUUUUGUCCUAGCCUGAAAUAUUUACCUGUGCCAGUAAAUACAGAGGUCGCCUAAGGUGCAGAGAGUCCUGGUAUAAAGGAAAGGAGUUCAACUAUUCAGUGCAAUAUUAAAAACUAGAUAGCAGAAAAAAUGUUCCUCUAUGUCACACUAGAAGUCAGAUUUGCUCUAAUCGUAAUCUUACUCAAGUCAGUUUGCUUUUUUAUGGUGUAAGGGACAAUUGUUUAUUUUAUAUUAAAUUCAGAUCUCAGCUGUGGAGCAGUGAUAGAGAGUAUAAUGUCUGAAAACUCAGUUGCAUUUAAAAACAAAGAUUAUGGCUUCUUUAACCUUCAGAAACUAUAUUCUAUUAUAAAACCAUGUUAGUUACCUGCUGUAAAUAUACUAAAAAUCAACAUCAGAUAAAUACAAGAUGCAUCAAAAGAUUUAAGGCACCUGUUGUGUAUUUAGAAGAAUUAUAUCUUGUUUAUGGUACAGUAUAAAAUGCACAGCUGAUUUAUAUAACAGCUAGUCUAUUGCAGGGGAAAUCUCAUUUCAAUCAUAAAUGGCAGAAGUUGAUUUAAGAAUUCAUUCUUUAAUGGGUCUGCAAUGUUCAAAUUUAAACUCAUUCAAUUCAUCAACAAAAUAUUCAAUAUGGAGCACAGGAAACUCAUUUAGGCAAACAGCGACUUUUAAUAUAAAUUUUCCAGGAGAUUUCUUCAUUGAUUCAGCAGUUUAGUGCAAAAUGAUUUGUGCGAUACAUUCUCAAGGAUCAAUGCAGGCCAAGUCAAUGGCUAAUAUAAAACAAUCAUCCCACCGACUACAGAGAACGUGUCAAUGAACUUUGACUUCACAUUGAACUUCUCUGUGGAAAGCAGAAGGAAGUCUGAUCAAAAUUAAUCGUGACUUCUCUCCCUUAUCUUUACCCAUUCUCUAUUGUGAUUGUUUGUAUUGCAACAUAACUUGGAAACUUCAUUCAGGACCAGAGCCCUGUAGCAUUGGGUUCUGCAGAAACACGUGACAAUCCCACCUUGCCCUUAAAAAUUGAUCUCAUUCUCCUCACUUCUCAUAGUGUGUGCCACCAUCUCAUGGAAAUGUGCAAAUUACAAGAGUCCAAGCCACUAUAGAAUGAACCACAGAACUUCUGUGAGGCUCAUGAGACUCAAAUCUCCUUUGGACAAGGCAAAAAUAUGGGGACUCCAAUAGUGAGUCAGCAAGGUGCAUCUUCAUUCUUUGUGUAGUUAGGGGUCUCCCCCUGAGGGGUCUUGGAGGUCAUUUUGCAGGACCAAGGCCUAAGAGCAUGUUCAGGCAAUGGAAGCAGGAAUGGUAGCCUAGGGAGAAUCUGGACAUGGCACUGAAGUCAAGGCACUGAUGGAACUAGGUGAUGGACAUGAAAAAAAAACCAACAAAAGCACAAAACAAGAAGGAAUUCUAUAAGUAUAUUGGUCAGAAGAGGCAAAAGAGAAAGGGAGAAAUGAAUAGCUGGGAAAAUGUAGGUCAGUGAGCCUCACCUCUGGGCCUAGGAAGAUCAUGGAGCAGAUCCUCCUGGAAGAGGCGUUAAGGCACAUGUGAGACAAGUAGGUGACCUGAGACACCCAGCAUGGCUACACCAAAGGCAGAUUGUACCCAACCAAACUGAUGGCCUUCUAAAAUGCUGUGACAGCAUCAGUGGGCAAAAGAAGGGCAACUGCUGUUGUCUACCAAGACAUGUGCAAGGAUUUUGAUGUGGUCCCCCACAUUCCCCUAAAUCUAAAUUGAAGAAACAUGGAUUUGAAGGCUGGACUAUUCAGAAGAUAAACAAUUGGUUGGGUGGAUGCAGUCAGAGGGUUGUGGUAGAUGGAUUUAUGACUAGGUGGAGGCCAGUCAUGAGUGGUGUUCCUCAGGGCUCUGUCCUGAGACCAGUGCUCUUCAAGAUCUUUAUCAAUAACAUAGUGGGAUCAAGUGUACCCUCAGCAAGUUUGCUGAUGACACCAAGAUGAGUGGUGCAAUUAACAAGAUAAAAGGAAGAGAUGCCAUUCAGAGGGAUCUGGACAGGCUUGAAAAGUGGUCCCAUGCAAACCUAAUGAGGUUCACCAAGGUCAGUGCAAGGUUCUCAAGAAUUUCAAGCCAAAGCCUUCACUCAGUUUCAACUAGAAUUAGGUACAUUGGACUUUACCACAAGUUGUCUGGAAUUUGCAGCCUUCCCAGUGAAUUCAAUGGAGUUUUAGUCUUAUGACAUUUUCUUACCCAGGGAAAAUUUCUUGAUUAGCUUUCUUUUUUUCAGAGUUGCUGGGAUUGCAACUGAUCUGAAAAUCAGCCUUUAUUAUCCAUCAAAAGACAACAAAGCUUUGUCAGACAGAAUUUUGGAGCUUCAUGACCACUGAAAGGAUCCCAACUAUCUGAUAAAAAAGGGGCUCAAGUAGUUUUGUAAUAAGUAUAUUACUUAAUGUUUGACACUGCAACUAGAAGCAUGCGAAAUCUUUUCUGCUUCAGUGAUCAAGAAUAAUCAAGGAAGUUAAAUCGCAAAAUUUAUUAUCAAGCUGCUAAUCCUUGGAGUUUUGUUUUGUUUUUGCUGUGUUUCAAGGAAGAAGUUACCAAAACUGUUAACUUAGUUUUCCCAUGUUUCCUUAACUCAGGCUGCAAAUACUAGUACGAAAUGUUUACAUGCAAACCUUACUGUAAUGAAAAUGAAAGAAUAUAUUGAUUUAAUUUCCAAAUUAUUAAUCAUCUUCACAGCUGAACAAAAAUAUUGUAUUGCUCAGCUCAAGCAAAUCCUAACAUCUUUGCCUCUGGCUAUGAGUCCAAGAACUGAUGAAGGACGAAAUAGUAAUAUAUGUACUGUAUGUGUCUGUGGAAGAUCAGCAUUCUUAGAGAAUAAACUUACAAGCUGUGCAUCAAAAAUAAUAAUAAUAAUAAUAAUAAAUUUGUAAUAUUCAGGUGAAUGAAAAAUCACAGAGGAACAAAGUAAGUAAAGGAUGAUCUGUCUUCAAGACAAAAAAUUUCCAUGCAAACUCACUAAGAGAGUGAAACAGAAAUAGCACAGGAUAUAGCAAUACAACAAAUAAUGGCCCCAUUAGAGAUAGUGCCUCGGGAAAUUUGACUUUUUAAAGUAUUUUUCCAGUGUAUCGGUCUUCUUGCAGAAACAGACGUUGAUAACCAAGGGGAAUGGAUGGCCAGACUGCAGAAGAGGAUAUCAGUUAGAGGACUGUGCAAACGAUACGGAGCGUUGGGUUUGUAUAGUAGAACUAGAAAUAUAAGAUAGUGAGCAGCAUGCCAGAUCAGCUUGCUAGAUUUUGGAAGACUCCAAAGUGUUAUAAUGAUAGAAGCUGCAGUGUGCACAACUCAAGGGAGAGUCUGUCAACUGCAAGUGCCCUGAUCCCACAGAAUCACUGAGCUACCUGGUUUUCAGGGAACUAAAUCAUUUGUAUAAUGUCAAAAAUUAAUAGCACAAAAGAAAAAAAUACAUAUGAAUGGCACAAACUCUGUUAAAGCGGUCUGAUCUCUCAUAAUUUUUUUUUUAUUAUGAGGUAAAUUAAGAAACACAGAAACAACACUAAAAACUUAUUCAGUAAUUUCAAAAUUUGACCUGAAUUUGACCUCAGACUGAACUAAGAAUGAACUGAUAAACACUUACACCUAUUAAGUUACAGCAAAAUCACCAGAUGAUGUUUGGUUUUUUUUCUGAACAUUUUUUCAGUCUUACCCAUAGCCCCAGAUUUUUGAGUCAGAUCUUGGUUGGAGAUAUGCCUGCACUGCCAAUCAGAAUUUGGGUAUCAUAGAAUGACUGGGGUUGGAUGAGACCUCAAGAUCAUCCAGUUCCACUGUGUGCAAAGUUGCCAACCACAAAAUCAGGCACUAUAUCAGGCUGCCCAGGGCUCCAUCCAACUCGGCCUUUAGCAGUUCCAGGAAUUGGAAUCGCAGCUUCUCUGGGCAACCUCUGCUAAGGCUUCACAACAUCAUGGUAAUCACUAUCCAGGACAACAAAUACGUUGAACUCCUUCAACGUGAAAUGGAGCAAGUAUCAACAUUUUGUAAUAAGGUGCUAACAAUAGUUCAUGAUUAUUUGCUGCAAAUUGUCUAACCCCUAGAGGCAGUUACCACACUGUCCUCAAGAGUUUGGCAAUGGCACAGCCUCAGUUCCUCAGUUUACCCAUCUUUUCUGCCUGUCAGAGGCCAGUUGUCUAAUCUUAUCUUCUGCUUUCUUAGUAAGCCUAAUGCUGUAGGAGUGAGACAGAAUUACAAACUGAUGGAUAGAUUUACAAACUGAUAAGUUUUCCUGAUGGUGAAGAGAUGAUGAUGCAUGUCCGUACUCCUGGGCAGCUCUGUAGCUAUGCCAGGGACUUGACACUCUGCUCUAGCAGAAGAUUUUGGGGCUUUUUCUUUUCCCAUGAUAGAAGACGACUGUUUCUGUUCUCUCUGCAGCCUUAGGCCUCCACCACCACUCUAACUUCAUCCCUGGAAGUGUUCAAGAAACAUGAAUAUUAGGCACUGAGGAACAUGGUUAGUGAUCAUGGUGGAGAUGGCUGGGCUAGAGGAUCUUAGUGGUCUUUUCCAACUUUAAUGAUUCUUUUUAUGAUUAUGAAUACAUCAUAGUGAUGUAUUUUCUUUCUCUACAUAAGAACUAUGUCCUUAUUUUCUAAUCAGUUAAAAGAUAGAAGAGUAAUGGCUUUUGAAAUACACAUGGUAUACAAAAAUCUCCUGGCCAGGUCUUUGAUGGACAUCCAUAUGGUUCAACAGAGAUGAACAUGUUGGUAGAGCAUGUAGACUCUGACAGGACAUCCCGAUUCUAUUAAAAUUCCUGUCCUUUGAAAACCUAUCUCCAAAAUGAUUCUCACCCAAGAGCAAAGGAGAUUCAAGUUGGAUAUUAGAAAAAAUUUCAUCUCUGAAAGGGUAGUCAGGUGCUGAAAUGGGCUGCCCAGGGAGACAGUUGAAUCACCAUUCCUGGAGGUGUCCAAGAAAUGUUUAGAUGUUGUACUAAGGGACAUGGCUUAGUGGGGAAGUAUUGGUGGUAAGUGGACAGUUGGACUGGAUGAUCUUGGGGAUCUCUUCCAACCUUGGUGAUUCAGUGAUUUGGUGAUUUUGCUAGACUGUGUAGGAACAGACUGGCUAUGAAGCAUUUACAGUUUAAAUACAGGGAUCAGGAUAUUAUACCUCCAAAGAUGAAGAUCUGAAAGUUAAUGAUCCAGAUUUCUCGUGUUGUGUUAGGGAUUGUUUCCAAGUUGCAAGGUUGAAUUCUGUGGCAACCCGAAGGGCAAGCAGUUACUCCAUUGUGCUUCAUAUAGAAGCAUCCAACCAGACUGAUGUUACCACAGACACGAGUAUAGGCCAAACACAAGUUUUGAUGGCAGUUACAGAUUUCCAGCUCCACUGAUUAUCAUGUUCCAUCUAUUAAUUUCAACAAUAUGGAAAAAGAUACAAACUUUGCAAAUUGUGCAACUAUACACACUGAAAAAAAAUGUGUCUUUUAAAAUUCAGCCACCUGUGGGAAAGGAAUCAGAAGUAAUUCAACAGCAAAAACAAACAAACAAACAAACAAAAAACAUGUACAUCAAUAUAGCACAAAAAAUGAAUAAUCCCAUUCUCUGCAAAUUGGCUUGCCCCUUGUACUGUGUGGAUAUGAAAAGCAGUUGAAACCUCACUUUCACCAGCACAUUAUACAAGUACUCUCUUAUCUAGUGAGUGCCCUGUCCUCUAACUGCAAUUCUUUAAUGAACAGGAGAUGAAAAUCACAAUGAGGUCACAGGAACUGGAAGGUGGAACAACAUUUAACUGUGUUCUUAUAUGACAUCUCUGUUAUUACCAAAAGGGGAACAGUGAAAUCAAAUGGGAAAUUGAAGAGGAUAGAGGCAGGAGAGGGAAUAGUCCACAACAAACUGUGAAUCUUUACUUUUCCGCUUUAAAUGAAUGAAACCAUAAACUUUAAUAGCGUUGGUGAAUGUGCCUUAUCAUUGACUGAAAAUCAGAUUUGGUAUCGAUUUGAUUUUUGGAAUAUUACUCAAUCAAGCACACUUAACUGCAGAAAUUUAGUAUUUUUAUAUCUUAAAAAAAUCAGUGCAAGCAAAUCUGCCAAGCCUCCCCCCUGGCUACAAGUCUAACAACUGUUGAAGGACAAAAGAUAAUAUAUGUGAAUACCAUUGCCAUGGUUCACUGGGUUAAAACAAACGGCCCCCAUUUGACCUUUAAAUUGAAGGGUUUCCCUUUAUAUCACUAGAGGCAAAAUGCAUGGACACGAGUACAACAACAACAAAAAGGGGACUUGUGUAGCUGAGUUGUAUUUGAUUUGUGAGAUUUUUUAUUCGUUUUUAAGAGGAUAUUUUUUCAUUUCCUUUGGAGGGGAGUAAACCCAAAAGUCAAAUUGAUGAAGAGAAAUGGAAUCUGAAUCUGUCCUGGGUUACAUUCACUGCUGGUUGGUUGGUCACCCUGGGGGAAAUGAUAUGUGUGCAGCUGGGAUGAUGAAUUGGGUUUGUUUAAGUCAUCAUUACAUUGUACUUUUUUAUGGACCUUAGUAUUUAUAACACUUAAAGUUGAUUGAGUAAUGUGGGUUGCCUUGGCAUCCCCGCUGGUCAGCAGGGGUGACGGGCCUUGACAGCAAACAUGAAGAUAUUACUGCUCCAAGACUGGUCCAGGAUGUCGGGGUAAUCUUAAGCAAUCUGCUGCUUGCUCUUGUGUGUAAUGCACUGUUGAAAACUUUCCCUGUAAGUGCAUUUGGGUGCAUAUAUAUAGGCUUCUGUAUAUGUAUUUGGUGAAAAGCUCAUCCUGCUCGGAAGUAAUACCAGAAAGCAGAUGCUUUAACUGAAUUAAUUUUUCACUUUGAAGCAAAAUUUGAGCUUAAAAAUAACAUCCUUAUAAAUCGGAAACAUAGUUGUUAAUAUAUGUAAUAAAUUCAUUCCUUUAGGUUAGUUUCCCUAUUUCUAAUGAACAGCAUUCAGCUUUGCAUAACCAUCAGGAGAAAAUAUAUGUCUCAGGAGCAAAAUGUGUUUACCUGCCUCUCCUUGACAGGAACAACAAUGUUAGACUCAUUAUCUUUAAGCCACCCUCCCAAAAUAAUGAACUCCAGGCAAAUGGGGCUGUGCAAGCAUCCAAAAAGUGAAGUUAGGAUGAAACUCUCAGCUAAGAGAGAUGGGCACUGCUCCAAUAUGAACAUAUAUUCAUUUGUAUCAUGUAUGAAAGCAAUAUGUUACAGCAGUGUACAUUACUACUUGUGAUUAUUAUCAACAUCAGCAUUUUACUGUAAAUAACAGAACAUGUUGAAUAUCUAAACCAAAAGGCAAAUCCUGAAAUUGUUUGUAGAUCUGGAUUUGACUGGGCAGCAUCGGUAGCAUGAACAAAGUCUCAAUUUAUCUAUAUGUGUACAAUCAGUAUUGUCCCUCCAGCAUGUGUGCUUAUGCAGGCAGACACACGUGAGUACAUACAGACAGAUGUGUCUGCACGUAUAAACCUUAACAUGGAAAAGCUCAGUGCUUGAAGAAUGGUAAAUGCCACAGCUAAGACACCCUGAUCAUUAGCACAUCAUGACGCAGUUUUCAGUAAUAGCUGAAUUUUCCCAGCAGCUCUGCCCCAUUCAAGAGAAAAGGAGUAGUGAGAAACUAGUCAGUAUCAUUUUUUAUUGUCUGUGGGUGACUCUGUGAUUAGUUUACUACACAUUAUCCUCAUCUCGUCUUUAAGAAAGAAUUACAACCUUGCUUGCCCACAUGUAGAGUUGUUUGAAAAUAUGAGACCUGAAAUUCUUCCUAUUGCAGAGGACGUUGAAGUGGAAUUUUACCUGGAACAUAAAGCAGAAGAGUCUCUUCUUACCUAGUUUUCCAUGCAUGUUUCCUAUCUCCACAUGCCUAAGACAAGAUCCGGUUUGAGGUCUUCUGUUACCCUUUCACCCACCUUCCUGGCUAUGUGUUCUCUACUGCUCUCUGCUCCCAUAUGGUUCAUCUUAAAUGAGAAAAAAAGGUCAUCAGAUGAGCUCCUAGAGAUAUCAGCACAUCCUAGGAGACUGCCUUCUAGGGAGGAACUGCAUUAAUACUCAUAGUUCCAUCUUUGUUAACAUUUGUUUUUUUCAACCUUACUAUCUUUCCAGUAGUCAACUGUAUCAUGCAAUUUUAAAUGCUUUUCUUUCAAAGCAAGAGUUGCAUCACAAGGAAUCCCCGUGUCACACAAAUUUCCCAUUAUUUUACACUUAUUAGCACUUUGACUACUUUAGCUAAGAUGUUCCUAAAAUUUGUAGCCAGGAGAGAUACCUAGCAGGGAAAUUUUCAAUUGGACCAGUUCAUAUUAAAUAGGAAAAAAAAAAAGUAAAAAAUAUAAAGUAAGGUCUUGUUAUAAGAACUUUUAGGGAAUCUUAGAGAAAGGAAAAUGAAAUACCAGUGCUAUUCGGUAUUUGUAUUUCCUGUAGUUACACACACCACAAAUACACCAGUAGAGACUCAGAGUUUUUGCUUGUUCCUGUCCUAAAACAAAGACCAGAUGUGGAAGUCAAACCUUAUUCUUAUUGUUCUGUUCUGAGAGGGCACACAUUUGACUCAUUAUGGGUCAAAUGGUGCUUUUAUUUACAUCCACAUCAAUUUUAAGGAACUAUGCUAAUUAUAGGAGAGGUUGCUAUGUCUGAGUAUCAUUUGUUUUAGCAAUAAUCAAAAAGGAUAUGUGCUGCUACCCAAUGGAUUGCCACAAAAAAAAAAAAUUCCUUUCUUGAAGGAAUAGCACAAGUGUGACAAGGAAAUGUUCACUGAUACAUCUUUUACUAAUGAGCCCUACAAUGAAAACAAGAGAGAGUAAAGAUAAUGAAAUUUUUCAAUAGGCCAGCACUUGUGCAGAGCCCCUUCUGCUUUUUCCCACCUCAUUGAUGGCAAAAAAAAAAAAAAAAAGCCAACAAAACAACAGAACCACAGAUAGUCAAGAUCACCCCUUCCUUUGCUUUUCAUUGGAUAUGAACAGCAAAAAGAAGCUAUGUUGGCCAUAAACAAUGAGUGAAACUGCAUUAAUGGUAUGCUACAGAUAACACAAGCAAAAUUCAGGAGGAGCUGGCUAACACAUACACACCUCUUUUUGUGUUUUUUUUUUUUUUUUUUGUAGGCUUCAUUAAUUGUCAUCUGCUGUGUGAAACGCAAAUCUAAUUGAAAUUUCUCACUAAUCAAGUGCAUCCUUCUAAUGAAGGCGUAUGACAGUUGUGUUCUGUGCAAAGUGCUACCUAAUGUGAAAUUCAAGUAAACACUUUAAUUACUUUAAAAGCCUAUUAAGGCAGAUUUUUAAGUGCAGUAUGUGGCCAUUUGCAUUGUCACCCAAUUUGUACACAGGCAGAACUACAAACACAUAUUCAGUGUGCAGAUGCAAAUUCAGUGCUUAACGAACCAGGUCCUGAAAAUGAUUCUUAACUGACUGGCCAGCGCACGGAUCAAUAAUAAGGCCCAGGAAGCCCUUCAAUCCUGUAUUGUCAUUUCAAAUCCAAGCUAUAAGUGCUCAUCUACAAGGGCUGUAAUUUAUUGCUUUAUUAAAAUUUUGUGGGAGUGAUAAAUCUACCAUCUGAACACAGAGGGUCAGAUGCAGAUGCCCUGUUUGACUUUUCUCCUGUGCUCACUAUGAUGGCUUUGCUGGGCUAUGCCGUACGCUUGGAUACUCUGAUGUUGCAGCUAUGUCUGGAGAUGAGUAUAUUCUCCACCCCCUCAAUGGAUGGAGAGAACUGCUCCCUGCAGCACUUCUGAUAGUUUUUGAUGUGUCCCAUCCAUAGAGAUGAUCAAGGUCAGGUUGGAUGGGCACUGGGCAGCCUGAUCUGGUGGGAGGCAACCAGCCCAUGGCAGGGGUUGGAAGUGGGUGAUCUUUAAGGUCCCUUCCAACUUAAACCAUUCCAUGAUUCUAUACUACAAGAUCCUUCCUCAGAAGCAAGGCAGUUUCAAACAGUUGUAAUCAUAGAAUCAUGUAAUAACCUGAGUCGGAAGGGACGUAUAAGGAUCACUGAGUCCAACUCCUAGAGUCCAUCAAGUCCAAAUCCCAGACAAGAGCUGCAGAUAACAAAAAAUUCCCCCUAGCUUCCCUAAUGCUGCUUUAGUCAUGGGAUAUGUAGCAAAAGAGUGAAGAAACAUGGGGAAAGCUCAGUGAGGAGCCAGAUUCAAGGAUCCUGCCUACUAGUUUCUUCUGAAUUUGGUUUCUGAAGAAAGUUACAAGGAAAUAGUUCUAGCAAGGGUUAUUUAGUCUUCACUUAGAGUUUACUUGUCUUGAUGAGGAAGUAGAACAAGGAUGAAAUCCUACUGAGACCACCUAGAAAUAGCUGAGCUUGGGCAAAAAGCUCAAACUGCCUCAGGUCUGUGUUCUGCUGUAUUUUGCUUGUUUGUUUGUUUUUAACUGAUAACCAUAAAUGCUAAAAGUAGGGGAAAUCUGUGUUCAGAGAGAACAUCUUCAUUACACUGAGGGAAAUUUCUUCAAUAUCAUGUUUCAUUUUUCUGCAUAGGCAGGAGGGGUGAGGCUCAAUACACCACCCUUAUAGCAAGUGAAUACCCCUGGUCCUUUCUAGUGUUUGUAAGAAAUAAUAGCAUGUGGUAUCCCUUAGGAUCUCCUCAGCAUCUCUCACUUAUUCACCCUACAGAAGCAAGAGCAGGAAAAUCAAGGUCACCCUGUUCAAGACCUCUAUUCAGUGUUCUAAGAUGGUUUGAAAUAAUUCAGUGUCUGGAAAACAUCUUCCUACAUUAAAGUUCCUGACAUUAUCUUGGCUUUUGUUUCUUUGUUUGUUUUUGUUUUUGUUUUUGUUUCAUUUUCUUUAUUUUCUGAUGAUGGAAAGAGCUGGAUUGCUUGUUUUCUGUCUGUCAGAAGUUCCUUCUGUUUCCACGCUCUGCUAGAUAAUAACCUCCUUAAUGCAGUCUGUAAUACAUCCUUAAUAUGGCUGUAAAACUGAAGAGUGGAAAAAGUGUCAACAAUAAAAAUUUCCAAAAUUCACUGUAAAUAACCCAUGAAUGUAUUCCUGCACCCCCACAGUCCAAAAUUUUUACCUAUAAGACAUCAUCUGCACACACAGACUUUUUGCCAAGAGGCAGCACAGGUCCAGGUGGAGGUUUUCUCCCUAAAACUGCCUGCUAAUAAGCUGCCUUCCUUCCCAAGUAAUGGUAACAUCGAAGACAAAUUGUCUUUGGCUUUUGAAAUUAAAAGGAACUAUUUAAAAACAGAAGUGCUGUUCCAAAGCAUUUGAAAGAUUUCAUGAAGCAAAUGUGUUUUGUUGCAUUUUGUUCAAAUUAUCAAACUCCUGCUCCAAAAUGCCAAAACGGCAAAGCCAUUUUCAUUGUCAGAUUGCAAAAUGCAAACAACUUUCUCUUUUCCUUGCUGAGGGGCCUAUUCUGCCAGCACUCUUCAGUAUGAAUGGAUUAAUUCAUUCCUCCACAAGUGAAGUUCACACACGGGCUGAGUAACAGAUAAUUGCCAACAUACAAGUGAGCUCUAUCCUGAACUUCUGAAUUAAAUAAUUUGUAGGGUAUGCAGAGAGGCAAACAUUGCCAUCGUUGCAAGAAUUCUACUGAAAUUGUAUUAUUUUAUCCUCUAAGCAUUAGUCUCUACAGCUACCUUUCCAUGAACACGCAUACAUGACAGUAAAAAUUAAGAGGUGCCAAUAGCCUUAGAAGAUUCUGGCUUCUAGGCUGACAAAGAUAAAGGAACCCAAUACUAAAGCAGCUGUUUCAUUAUAUGAUAUUACUUCAUUGCAUGCAUUGCUUGAACAACUAAGAUUUGAAAAUUUUCAAGCAAUAUGUUAUCUGUACUUCCAUAAGAAGAAAAAUAUUAACUCCAGGUUUUGCACCACAGACUGGAAAUUUCAACGUGGGUCUGCAAGCAGGACUCUUUAAUCUCAGAGGACAACUCUACUUGCUGAGUAGCUCUGAAAAUUCUGACUGCUACUACUGUUCAUCUUGAAGACUGUACAACUCUGAUCACCAAUGUGAUUUAUACAGGAAUGAGGUCUUCAACUGAAUACCUAACUUCUGUAGACCACACUUUUGAAUGUAUAAAUGUUCAGUGCAGAACACACCAUAAACCUCUUCUUCAGCUGAGAGCAGCCCUGUCAUUAGCCUGUCAAGACUAACAGUCGGAUUUGUAAAGACAUUUAAUAGUCAAUUAGCAAAAGAUACUGUUCUCAAAAGGUUCCGGGUGCCCAAUUUCUCUUAAAUC
ensembl:lncRNA